rnacentral:rRNA from 1 species
GACGAACGCUGGCGGCGUGCUUAACACAUGCAAGUCGAGCGGUAAGGCCCUUUCGGGGGUACACGAGCGGCGAACGGGUGAGUAACACGUGGGUGACCUGCCCUCAGCUCUGGGAUAAGCCUGGGAAACCGGGUCUAAUACCGGAUAUGACUCCAUGACGCAUGUUGUGGGGUGGAAAGCCUUGUGCGGCUGAGGAUGGGCCCGCGGCCUAUCAGCUUGUUGGUGGGGUGAUGGCCUACCAAGGCGACGACGGGUAGCCGGCCUGAGAGGGGCGACCGGCCACACUGGGACUGAGACACGGCUCAGACUCCUACGGGAGGCAGCAGUGGGGAAUCUUGCGCAAGUGGGCGAAAGCCUGACGCAGCGACGCCGCGUGAGGGUGACGGCCU